UUGGUGCACUCAAUAGUGGAGCGAAGAAAAAGAAACGUCGAGAAAGGAAAGCUUUAUCCGAAAGAAACAAUAAAUACGUAGACAAUGACCCGCUGGGCUUAAGAA